AUAUGGAUCGUACUUUGGGUUGUUCCUUUUGAAGUUGGCUAGGUACUUUGCCUCUUCUGACCCUUUAGGAAAACAUUGGCCAUUAGCAUGUCCUUGUCCACAAAAAUCACAUUUCACUUCGUUAGCUGCCAUGACUGGCAUUUGGGAAUUGGGAGUGCUAGUGAGGUGUUUCAACACAGCUGCCAUUUGAGAAUUCAUCAAGGUAGAUUGGGCCAAAAGAGCAGUUUGAGUAUCAAGCUCUAGCAUGCCUGCCUUCUUCUUUGCACCACGAUCAUUUUCAACUCUGUAUUCAUUUUGAGCCAUGGAUUCCACCAACUCUCUAGCUUGAGUNNNNNNNCCGAUGCAUCUAGAAACAUUCUAGUUUGAGCUCUCAAUCCUUGUGUGAAAUGCUGCAUUUGAGUAUGACUAUCGAGCCCAUGCUUAGGACA
rnacentral:lncRNA from 1 species